CAACUCUGGGUUCCCUUCAAAACGAAUAAAUGUUUCGCCUUGUACUAAAGAUUUCCAUGGAGGGGAGCAUUAAAUGAGUCUGUAACGUAUUUUCGUAGUGCUCGGCUCUUGAUGAGCAA